rnacentral:rRNA from 1 species
CCUACGGGGGCUGCAGUGGGGAAUAUUGGACAAUGGGCGAAAGCCUGAUCCAGCCAUGCCGCGUGUGUGAAGAAGGCCUUCGGGUUGUAAAGCACUUUCAGUGGGGAAGAAAGCCUUGGGGCUAAUACCCUCGAGGAAGGACAUCACCCACAGAAGAAGCACCGGCUAACUCCGUGCCAGCAGCCGCGGUAAUACGGAGGGUGCGAGCGUUAAUCGGAAUUACUGGGCGUAAAGCGCGCGUAGGCGGUCUGAUAAGCCGGUUGUGAAAGCCCCGGGCUCAACCUGGGAACGGCAUCCGGAACUGGCAGGCUAGAGUGCAGGAGAGGAAGGUAGAAUUCCCGGUGUAGCGGUGAAAUGCGUAGAGAUCGGGAGGAAUACCAGUGGCGAAGGCGGCCUUCUGGACUGACACUGACGCUGAGGUGCGAAAGCGUGGGUAGCAAACAGGAUUAGAUACCCCGGUAGUC